AUUGAACGCUGGCGGCAGGCCUAACACAUGCAAGUCGAACGAGUGGCGGACGGGUGAGUAAUGUCUGGGCAACUGCCCGAUGGAGGGGGAUAACUACUGGAAACGGUAGCUUAUUCCGCACUCCAUCGGAUGUGCCCAGAUGGGAUGAGCUAGGAGGUGGGGUAACGGCUCACCUAGGCGACGAUCCCUAGCUGGGCUGAGAGGAUGACCAGCCACACUGGAACUGAGACACGGUCCAGACUCCUACGGGAGGCAGCGGUGGGGAAUAUUGCACAAUGGGCGAAAGCCUGAUGCAGCCAUGCCGCGUGUAUGAAGAAGGCAUUCGGGUUGUAAAGUACUUUCAGCGGGGAGGCGUUACCCGCAGAAGAAGCACCGGCUAACUCCGUGCCAGCAGCCGCGGUAAUUC
rnacentral:rRNA from 1 species